rnacentral:rRNA from 1 species
CCUACGGGUGGCAGCAGUGGGGAAUAUUGCACAAUGGGGGAAACCCUGAUGCAGCGACGCCGCGUGAGUGAAGAAGUAAUUCGUUAUGUUAAGCUCUAUCAGCAGGGAAGUAAAUGACGGUACCUGUGUAAGAAGCCCCGGCUAACUACGUGCCAGCAGCCGCGGUAAUACGUAGGGGGCAAGCGUUAUCCGGAUUUACUGGGUGUAAAGGGAGCGUAGUCGGCAGUGCAAGUCUGGAGUGAAAGGCGGGGGCUCAACCCCCGGACUGCUCUUGAAACUGUACGGCUGGAGUGCAGGAGAGGUAAGUGGAAUUCGUAGUGUAGCGGUGAAAUGCGUAGAUAUUAGGAGGAACACCAGUGGCGAAGGCGGCUUACUGGACUGUAACUGACGCUGAGGCUCGAAAGCGUGGGUAGCAAACAGGAUUAGAUACCCGAGUAGUC